rnacentral:rRNA from 1 species
UAACACGUAGGUGGCGAGCGUUAUCCGGAUUUACUGGGCGUAAAGCGUGUGCAGACGGGGUAGCAAGUGGUGUAUGAAAGGGUGAGGCUCAACCUCACGAGGGUAUGCCAGACUGCUGCUCUAGAGUGCGAGAGAGGGAUGUGGAAUUCCGGGUGUAGUGGUGAAAUGCGUAGAGAUCCGGAGGAACCCCAGAGGCGCAAGCGGCGUCCUGGCUCGCAACUGACGUUCAGACACGACAGCAUGGGGAGCGAACGGGAUUAGAAACCCCGGUAGUCCAUGCCGUAAACGAUGCCAACUAGGCGCUGGUGGUGAUAAGCCAUCGGUGCCGUAGCUAACGCGCUAAGUUGGCCGCCUGGGGACUACGGCCGCAAGGCUA